rnacentral:rRNA from 1 species
GAUGAACGCUGGCGGCGUGCCUAAUACAUGCAAGUCGAGCGAACGGACGAGAAGCUUGCUUCUCUGAUGUUAGCGGCGGACGGGGGAGUAACACGUGGAGAACCUACCUAUAAGACUGGGAUAAAUUCGGGAAACCGUAGCUAAUACCGGAUAAUAUUUUGAACCGCAUGGUUCAAAAGUGAAAGACGGUCUUGCUGUCACUUAUAGAUGGAUCCGCGCUGCAUUAGCUAGUUGGUAAGGUAACGGCUUACCAAGGCAACGAUGCCUAGCCGACCUGAGAGGGUGAUCGGCCACACUGGAACUGAGACACGGUCCAGACUCCUACGGGAGGCAGCAGUAGGGAAUCUUCCGCAAUGGGCGCAAGCCUGACGGAGCCACGCCGCGUGAGUGAUGAAGGUCUUCGGAUCGUAAAACUCUGUUAUUAGGGAAGAACAUAUGUGUAAGUAACUGUGCACAUCUUGACGGUACCUACUCAGAAAGCCCCGGCUAACUCCGUG